rnacentral:tRNA from 1 species
GUUUUUGUGGUGUAUAUAAAGCACACUAAGAUUUUCAUUCUAGAGGAGUAAAAUUAUUUACCAAAAAUA